rnacentral:rRNA from 1 species
UACGUAGGGCGCGAGCGUUGUCCGGAAUUAUUGGGCGUAAAGAGCUCGUAGGCGGCUUGUCGCGUCGGAUGUGAAAGCCUCGGGCUUAACCCGAGAAGGGCAUCCGAAACUGGCCGGCUUGAGUACGGAAGAGGGUCUCGGAAUUCCCGGUGUAGAGGUGAAAAUUCGUAGAUAUCGGGAGGAACACCAGUGGCGAAGGCGGAGACCUGGGCCGAUACUGACGCUGAGGUGCGAAAGCGUGGGGAGCAAACAGG